GACGAACGCUGGCGGCGUGCUUAACACAUGCAAGUCGAACGAAGAGCGAUGGAAGCUUGCUUCUACCAAUCUUAGUGGCGAACGGGUGAGUAACGCGUAAUCAACCUGCCCUUCAGAGGGGGACAACAGUUGGAAACGACUGCUAAUACCGCAUACGAUCUAAUCUCGGCAUCGAGGAUAGAUGAAAGGUGGCCUCUACAUGUAAGCUAUCACUGAAGGAGGGGAUUGCGUCUGAUUAGCUAGUUGGAGGGGUAACGGCCCACCAAGGCGAUGAUCAGUAGCCGGUCUGAGAGGAUGAACGGCCACAUUGGGACUGAGACACGGCCCAGACUCCUACGGGAGGCAGCAGUGGGGAAUCUUCCGCAAUGGACGAAAGUCUGACGGAGCAACGCCGCGUGAGUGAUGACGGCCUUCGGGUUGUAAAGCUCUGUUAAUCGGGACGAAAGGCCUUCUUGCGAAUAGUGAGAAGGAUUGACGGUACCGGAAUAGAAAGCCACGGCUAACUACGUG
rnacentral:rRNA from 1 species